UAGAACAGUUUACGGAACUCAGAAAAACAGUUUAUUUUCUUUUUUUCUGAGAGGGUCUUAUUUUGUUGCCCAGGCUGGUGUGCAAUGGUGCAGUCAUAGCUCAUUGCAGCCUUGAUUGUCUGGGCUCCAGUGGUUCUCCCACCUCAGCCUCCCUAGUAGACAUGCCUGCACCACCACAUCUGGCUAGUUUCUUUUAUUUUUUGUAUAUAUGGGUCUUGUUGUGUUGGCCAGGCUGGCCACAAAUUCCUGGUCUCAAGUGAUCCUCCCACCUCAGCCUCUGAAAGUGCUGGGAUUACAGAUGUGAGCCACCACAUCUGGCCAGUUCAUUUCCUAUUACUGGUUCAUUGUGAAGGAUACAUCUCAGAAACAGUCAAUGAAAGAGACGUGCAUGCUGGAUGCAGUGGCUCAUGCCUGUAAUCUCAGCACUUUGGGAGGCCAAGGUGGGAGGAUCGCUUGAGCCUGGAAAUUUGAGGUUGCAGUGAG
rnacentral:lncRNA from 1 species